ensembl:lncRNA
UUGUUAGUGCGGAGUCAGAUGGAGCAACGUUCCGAUGUCACAGGUGAAAUUGCUGAGGCCGAGCUGCCCAGGAGUGACGUUAGUUCAAUAACUUAAAGCCACAUGUAGGAAGAGGGAAAGGCCUUCGCAUUGAAAGCCUGUCCACGGUUUGCUGGACCAACGACAGGAGGAGGCAUGAAUGAAAAACACGACUUUUAUUGCACAACUGGAAAACUAACCAACAUGGAGCUAAGGAAGACUGUCUUUGCUUAACUGAGCUUGACAAGAAAACUAUCAAGCCUCAGCUUUGGUUCUCGACUCCAUCGUCUGGACGGACACACUUGGCAGAAUUCCCACAUUGCUCCUCUGACACAUGGAGCGACCCACAGGCUUUCGGGUGGGAAAGGCCGAGUGGAAGACUCCAGAACAGCCUCUGGGCGUCCCUGGAACUG